rnacentral:rRNA from 1 species
GAGUUUGAUCCUGGCUCAGAUUGAACGCUGGCGGCAGGCCUAACACAUGCAAGUCGAGCGGUAGCACAAGGAGCUUGCUCCUGGGUGACGAGCGGCGGACGGGUGAGUAAUGUCUGGGAAACUGCCCGAUGGAGGGGGAUAACUACUGGAAACGACUGCUAAUACCGCAUGACACAUUGGGGUCGCAUGGCCCUGAUGUCAAAGAUUUAUCGCUGAAAGAUGGCCUCGCGUCUGAUUAGCUAGUUGGUGAGGUAACGGCCCACCAAGGCGACGAUUGGUAGCCGGACUGAGAGGUUGAACGGCCACAUUGGGACUGAGACACGGCCCAGACUCCUACGGGAGGCAGCAGUGGGGGAUAUUGCACAAUGGGGGAAACCCUGAUGCAGCGACGCCGCGUGGAGGAAGAAGGUUUUCGGAUUGUAAACUCCUGUCGUUAGGGACGAUAAUGACGGUACCUAACAAGAAAGCACCGGCUAACUACGUGCCAGCCGCCGCGGUAAUUC